rnacentral:rRNA from 1 species
CGGAGGAAGGUGGGGAUGACGUCAAAUCGUCAUGCCCCUUAUGUCUUGGGCUUCACGCAUGCUACAAUGGCUGGUACAGUGGGCAGCGAUACCGUGAGGUGGAGCGAAUCCCAAAAAGCCGGUCCCAGUUCGGAUUGAGGUCUGCAACUCGACCUCAUGAAGUCGGA